rnacentral:lncRNA from 1 species
AAUCUAAUAUUAAUAACAUCCUUCCUCAAAUUGAUUCACAAGGAGGAUUACAUACAAGUUUGUCAGCUACACGAGAUUCUGUUCUUGAAAAUCCUGUGUAUGGCAUGCCGGCUAACUUCUACUCAGGGUAGACGCCACCGUCGGGACAGCCGCCAAAGCUGAUUACGGCUGGAGCAGUCAGACCAGUCCAAGCAGGUAUGAACCUGACUCAAUUGCUAUUGUGCCUAGUUCGGCUGCUCCUAGCCAUACUAAUAAACUUGGGAAUAUUUUUCCUACAUUCAACACACAUCCCCAC